rnacentral:rRNA from 1 species
CAGUGCCGCGGGAAUACGUAGGUGGCAAGCGUUGUCCGGAAUUAUUGGGCGUAAAGCGCGCGCAGGCGGCCUAUCCAGUCUGUCUUAAAAGUUCGGGGCUCAACCCCGUGAUGGGAUGGAAACUAGUAGGCUAGAGUAUCGGAGAGGAAAGCGGAAUUCCUAGUGUAGCGGUGAAAUGCGUAGAUAUUAGGAAGAACACCAGUGGCGAAGGCGGCUUUCUGGACGAAAACUGACGCUGAGGCGCGAAAGCCAGGGGAGCGAACGGGAUUAGAGACCCCUGUAGUCCCUGUCUCUUAUACAC